rnacentral:rRNA from 1 species
AUUCGAAGCGGGAACAAGGAAUGGGGGAAGCCUUUGCUUCCCUUGUAUGUUUAGCGGGCGGACGGGUGAGUAACACGUGGGUAACCUGCCUGUAAGACUGGGAUAACUCCGGGAAACCGGGGCUAAUACCGGAUGGUUGUUUGAACCGCAUGGCUUCAAACAUAAAAGGGGGCUUCGGCUACCACUUACAGAUGGACCCGCGGCGCAUUAUCUAGUUGGGGAGGUAACGGCUCACCAAGGCAACAAUGCGUACCCCACCUGAGAGGGUGAUCGGCCACCCUGGGACUGAAACCCGGCCCAAACCCCUACGGGAGGCAGCAGUAGGGAAUCUUCCGCAAUGGACAAAAGUCUGACGGAACAACCCCCCGUGAGUGAUGAAGGUUUUCGGAUCGUAAAGCUCUGUUUUUAGGGAAAAACAUUUACCGUUCAAAUAGGGCGGUACCUUGACGGUACCUAACCAAAAAGCCACGGCUAACUACGUGCCAGCAGCCGCGGUAAUACGUAGGUGGCAAGCGUUGUCCGGAAUUAUUGGGCGUAAAGGGCUCGCAGGCGGUUUCUUAAGUCUGAUGUGAAAGCCCCCGGCUCAACCGGGGAGGGUCAUUGGAAACUGGGAAACUUGAGUGCAAAAAAGGAGAGUGGAAUUCCACGUGUAGCGGUGAAAUGCGUAAAAGAUGUGGAAGAAACACCAGUGGCGAAAGGCAACUCUCUGGUCUGUAACUGACCCUGAGGAGCAAAAGCGUGGGGAACCAAACAGGAUUAAAAUACCCUGGGUAAUCCCACCCCUGUAAACGAAGAGUGCUAAGUGUUAGGGGGGUUUCCCGCCCCUUAGUGGCUGCAGCUAAACGCCUUAAAGCCUCUCCGCCUGGGGGAUAAACGGUCCGCAAGGGUUGAAAACCCAAAGAGGAUUUGCCGGG